rnacentral:rRNA from 1 species
CCUACGGGGUGCUGCAGUGGGGAAUAUUGGACAAUGGGCGAAAGCCUGAUCCAGCCAUGCCGCGUGUGUGAAGAAGGCCUUCGGGUUGUAAAGCACUUUCAGUGGGGAAGAAAGCCUUGGGGCUAAUACCCUCGAGGAAGGACAUCACCCACAGAAGAAGCACCGGCUAACUCCGUGCCAGCAGCCGCGGUAAUACGGAGGGUGCGAGCGUUAAUCGGAAUUACUGGGCGUAAAGCGCGCGUAGGCGGUCUGAUAAGCCGGUUGUGAAAGCCCCGGGCUCAACCUGGGAACGGCAUCCGGAACUGUCAGGCUAGAGUGCAGGAGAGGAAGGUAGAAUUCCCGGUGUAGCGGUGAAAUGCGUAGAGAUCGGGAGGAAUACCAGUGGCGAAGGCGGUCUUCUGGACUGACACUGACGCUGAGGUGCGAAAGCGUGGGUAGCAAACAGGAUUAGAUACCCCGGUAGUC